CGAUGGUGGUGGUGGUGGUGGUGGUGGUGAUGAUGAUGAUGGGUGGGAGGCUUGUGAAGGAAAUAUGUUGCUUUCAUCAUCAUCAUCAUCUUCUUCUUCAUCUUCUUCU
rnacentral:miRNA from 1 species